UUGUAAUUGGUUACUAGUGGUUAGGAUUCCUGGUUUUCACUCAGGCGGCCCGGGUUCGAUUCCCGGCACCGCAAA
rnacentral:tRNA from 1 species